rnacentral:rRNA from 1 species
UACGUAGGGUGCAAGCGUUAAUCGGAAUUACUGGGCGUAAAGCGUGCGCAGGCGGUUAUGCAAGACAGAUGUGAAAUCCCCGGGCUCAACCUGGGAACUGCAUUUGUGACUGCAUGGCUAGAGUACGGCAGAGGGGGGAUGGAAUUCCGCGUGUAGCAGUGAAAUGCGUAGAUAUGCGGAGGAACACCGAUGGCGAAGGUACAUCCCCUGGGCCUGUACUGACGCUCAUGCACGAAAGCGUGGGGAGCAAACAGG